rnacentral:rRNA from 1 species
UACGUAGGGUGCAAGCGUUGUCCGGAAUUAUUGGGCGUAAAGAGCUCGUAGGCGGUCUGUUGCGUCGGCUGUGAAAACCCGGGGCUCAACCCCGGGCCUGCAGCCGAUACGGGCAGACUAGAGUUCGGCAGGGGAGACUGGAAUUCCAGGUGUAGCGGUGAAAUGCGUAGAUAUCUGGAGGAACACCGGUGGCGAAGGCGGCAUCCUGGACCAACACUGACACUGAGGAGCGAAAGCCAGGGGAGCAAACGGG